AUUGAACGCUAGCGGGAUGCUUUACACAUGCAAGUCGAACGGAGUGGCGGACGGGUGAGAAAUAUAUCGGAAUGUGCCCAGUAGCGGGGUAUAACUACUCGAAAGAGUCUCUAAUACCGUAUACUAUUGGAGCGGCCGAUAUCGGAUUAGCUAGUUGGUGGGGUAAAGGCUCACAAAGGCGACGAUCCGUAGCGGGUUUGAGAGGACGACCAGCCACACUGGGACUGAGACACGGCCCAGACUCCUACGGGAGGCAGCAGUGGGGAAUUUUGGACAAUGGGGGAAAGCCUGAUCCAGCCAUCCCGCGUGUAUGAUGAAGGCCUUCGGGUUGUAAAGUACUUUUGGCAGAGAGGCGGUAUCUGCAGAAGAAGCACCGGCUAACUACGUGCCAGCAGCCGCGGUAAUUC
rnacentral:rRNA from 1 species